AGGGGUAUAGCUCAGUGGUAGAGUGUGUGCUUAGCAUGCAUGAGGUCCUGGGUUCAAUCCCCAGUACCUCCA
rnacentral:tRNA from 1 species